CGACGGCGAUCGACGUGAAGGCUUUUCGUCUUUUCCGGUGCGUCGUUACUCAUUCCAGGUCUCCUGUCUUUGUAGCUUCGCCUCCUUGUCUCUACUCCUCCUCACCCGCCUCUUCUUCCUCUCCUCGUCGCCCGCCUUCGCCUUCGCCUUCGCCUUCGCGUUCGCGUUCGCCUUUCAUGUUGGCGUAUCUGAUGGAUCGCGUCGGUUACACCGAGGAGAAGGCUACCGCCAUCGCCAACCGGCUCGCUGGAGUCACCUCCCCCGAGAGACCCGACGCUGUUCUCCGCUUCCUCCGCUCUACCGCCGGCCUCCCCCC
rnacentral:lncRNA from 1 species